GAUUUAGCCAGACUAUAAGAGGAUUGCUGCUCUUCCUUGACUAUAAAACCAAGUACGAACAUAAAGAAUCAAAGUUAAAAAGAGGGCUGUUAGAAUUCCUUUGAAGAAUGUAAAAAGACUCAAUUUUUGCUACCAUGGCGGUGGAGUGAAAUUGGAGAUUAUCCACUAUGGGAGUAGCGAGGUUUUAAGGUACAUUGAUGAUUUCUGGAAAAAGAUUAAAAUGAAAACCCAUUAGUGGGAAAAGGAGAGAAACUGAAUUAUCGAUGUCCAGGCAGAAAGAUCAUCUGUUGAGAUAAAGUCAACACUGAAAACAUGCUUAAGGAACACCAGGAUUUUCCAGCCCAAAACCCUCAUUUAGGCCAAUGUUACUCCUGAACUGGAAAAAGAAAGCGUGUGUUUCACCUUGCUAGUAAGUUGAGAUUUGUAUUCGAAUUGUUGUGACCGUAUGCUUAUAAGACAAAACAUGUGCAUAUGUGAGGCUGUGUCGGCAUUUGGUGGAAAAGUGAAAAAUUCGUCAGGAAUUUGUCUUAUUUAUAUAAUUUCUAUCAGACAUCCAGCUAGUAUAAAAAUAAAGAGACCUUUUUCUCAA